rnacentral:misc_RNA from 1 species
GUGGUGUUUGGAUCGUCCCUGCCGGCUGGCUCCGUGCCCGCCCACCGAACGGUCGGCAGGCGAUCCGCGUCGGUCAAGCGAGGUGGUAUGGCUCCCUAGAGGCCGGUUCUUGUGCUGCCUACCCCUUCAGGGGAAGCGGGCCACUUUCGAUGUAAGCCUCCAUCCGGCGCCCUCCAACGGGCGCAGGAGGACAACGGAGCACCCCCCGCGUUCCACCGAGCCUCGGCCGGUCGCGUGGCGCGCGGGGACGUGCGAUGCUCUCGGACCCAGCGAACGCCGUGGGCGAGGACUCACGUCCCAGUCCCUAUACAAGCUCCGACAAAAUGUAAGACGGCCUCUCCCGACCCCCGACCGCCCCGGCGGCUCGGGGGCGAGGCGCGGCGUCGCGGAGGAAUGCUACCUGGUUGAUCCUGCCAGUAGUCAUAUGCUUGUCUCAAAGAUUAAGCCAU